GACCAAGAGGAUCUGCAGUUAGUUCAACAACCGCAAAACUUACAAAUCCUUCUCGCUCUCAUUAUACUAUUGAGUAGAAGAACUCUCUUGAAAAGAGGAAUUAUGGAGACGUAGCACUCAUUUCCAAUCCCCAUGUUUCUCAAAUAACAAGAGUUUUCUCUAACCAGGUGAAUGAAAUGAUGUCUUAACAGGAGGAAAAAAGAACCAACGAUGACAGUAGCUCAUACCUAUAAUAUGAUCUUGAACACUUAUUGUGAAUUUUGUUUGUAUUUUGAGAGUGAACUUGUGUUGUUGGUACAUUUACUAAAUACUUUAUUUACCUUUGUAUCAUU